CCUACGGGAGGCAGCAGUGGGGAAUAUUGGACAAUGGGGGGAACCCUGAUCCAGCCAUGCCGCGUGUGUGAAGAAGGCCCUCGGGUUGUAAAGCACUUUCAGUGAGGAAGAACGCCUGGUGGUUAAUACCCAUCAGGAAAGACAUCACUCACAGAAGAAGCACCGGCUAACUCCGUGCCAGCAGCCGCGGUAAUACGGAGGGUGCGAGCGUUAAUCGGAAUUACUGGGCGUAAAGCGCGCGUAGGUGGCUUGAUAAGCCGGUUGUGAAAGCCCCGGGCUCAACCUGGGAACGGCAUCCGGACCUGUCAAGCUAGAGUGCAGGAGAGGAAGGUAGAAUUCCCGGUGUAGCGGUGAAAUGCGUAGAGAUCGGGAGGAAUACCAGUGGCGAAGGCGGCCUUCUGGACUGACACUGACACUGAGGUGCGAAAGCGUGGGUAGAAAACAGGAUUAGAUACCCCGGUAGUC
rnacentral:rRNA from 1 species